UAAGAUUUGAAAUUAAAGCAGUAAAUUUGUAAAUGUUAAAGUUUUGUAAAUAGUUCACAUACUUCUUGCUAAAGCUAAUGGGAACAUCGAGUGAAACAUUCCAUUGCGGUCAAAGUGAAACGCAGAGCGGAAACGGAAAUGCGUGUAAGGGUUGUCGGCGCUCACUUACAAAGCUAUUAAAAUACAUAUUUCAUUUGGAGCGUUACGCUGUAGCUCAAAACAAAGAUAUUACCCGUAAACCAAAAAGCUAAAAGCGACGCCGCAUUGAACUUCCGUUUUUUAAAGCCAAGGUUGCAUUUUGGCCAACAAUGCGAGCAACAUUGAAAUGUGUUUGCUCUUGUUAUUGCCUUUUGUUUGCCCACCAACAAAAUAAAACAGAGUGAAAAACGAAACAAACGAGAUAAAUUAAAUUGCAGUUUGCGGAAUUGCAUCCUGCGGCCAUAUUGAUAAGAAGUCAAGAUCACGCUCAGAUAAACUCGCAACUAGCUCGUUAACUCGAACAAGUCCUUAAAUGUCUGCAGAGUCAUAACAUAUGCGAAAACAAAUACAAUAUACAUAUGUAUGUAGUAUAGAAAACAGUUGGCCAGCAAAAAACUGUUGAACAACAUUUUAUGGGCCAACUAAGCGGGCCCAUUACAGCACUUUAGCGGCUUUCGUUAUUGCUGUAAAGCAUUUUUUGCGUUUUGCCAUUUGCCAUUUGCUAUUUUCUGCUGUGGUUGCUGCUGGCGCUUAUGUGUUGCGGGGCCUUCAAGAGGGCAGCCCCGCUGUUGUAGUUGGCUGUGUUGGCUGUUGGCGCCAGUGGGUCCAACAUUGUAAGCUGAGAGCUUCCAGCUUGGCCCCAGCCCCACCAGCUGAGUCAACAAUAAAAAGCGCAGUGCAAAAGUUUUGUUUAAACAAAUCAGCAGAAAUGAUUUUUUAAUGUUGCGAGCCAAGUUUGUUGGCGCUUGUAAGCGAUUUUAACUUGGCACAAAAAAGAAUUAUUUACACUAUACGAAAAGUAACAAAAAAAAUGAUAAGAAUUUUGUUUGAUUUUUGGCAUCGAAGCAGUUAUAC